rnacentral:lncRNA from 1 species
GUAAUUGAAUGGCAGGGGUAUGAGAUUUGAGGUCAAGGAAAUAUUUUUAUUAUUUUUUACGAUGAGAGAAAUUGUAGUACACAUGUAUAUUUAUGGGAAUGACUCAGUAGAAAGACCAAAAAUUUCAUAUGUGAGAGAAGGACCAAUUGAUGAAGCGAUGUUCUUGCGUGGGCGCGAGGAUGGGAUCGAGUGCACAGCGGAAGGUGGCACUUAGGAACACGCAGCACUCGUCCAUGCCAGCAGGAGGCAAGGCAGAAUGGAAAUAAAACUUUAACCAAAAGAGCAUGGGCAGAUAUUUCCCGGAUCUGAACAGGAAUAGCUGGUGUCUGGACUCUAUGAAGAAUCUUCAUGUGCAGUGAUAGAAGAAUAAACACAUUUGCAGACUUUUGUAGUGCACAGUGACCGGUGACCAGCAGCAUGUGUUUCCAUAGGCAUCUUCUCUCAGUACCCCAGAAGGUGAAUUGCCAGUGAGUCCUGCCAGGAUGCCCCUCGGUGACUGCACCACCCAGUAAAAAGACAUCCCUUAACUAUGGCAAAACAACAACAACAACGACGACAAAAAACAAAACAAAACAAAACAAAACCCUGCAUCAAUUUGAUAAAUAAUCCUCCCCGUUGAUGUCACUGGUUUUUUUCUGCACAUCUUCUCACUGAUAUUUAAAUGCUGAGCUUACACUUUCCAUGGACAUGCUUAAUGACUAAACAAUAGUUGAAUUCUAAAUUAAUCAACUGACCAACCAGUAAGAAUUUAUUGAGCAACUCCUUUGAAGCCGUCUAUCUGUUAGGUGCUGUGGGAGCACAAAAGAAAUAGGACAUCAUCUCUGCCUCAGGGAAUUUAGUGUUUUGGGGAAAACCUGAGUGGUAUACACAAAGCAAUUGAGGAACAACCUAGGACCUUGUAGUCCAUUAGGAUUUCCAAAAAUAGAAAGAGAAUGGAAAGUCACCUGGCUAGGAGAAGCCAGUGGAAACUUGACACGAAGAAAAAAG